UACGGGGGGGGUAAGCGUUGUUCGGAAUUACUGGGCGUAAAGGGCUCGUAGGCGGCCAACUAAGUCGGACGUGAAAUCCCUCGGCUCAACUGAGGAACUGCCUUUGAAACUGUCUGGCUUGAGGCCGGGAGAGGGUAGCGGAAUCCCCAGUGUAGCGGUGAAAUGCGUAGAUAUUGGGAGGAACACCAGUGGCGAAGGCGGCUACCUGGACCGGUUCUGACGCUGAGGCGCGAAAGCGUGGGUAGCAAACAGG
rnacentral:rRNA from 1 species